CGUGGAGACAGGUGGUGCAUGGCUGUCGUCAGCUCGUGUCGUGAGAUGUUGGGUUAAGUCCCGCAACGAGCGCAACCCUCACCCCUUGUUGCCACCGGGUUAUGCCGAGCACUCUAGGGGAACUGCCAGCGUCAAGCUGGAGGAAGGCGGGGAUGACGUCAAGUCAUCAUGCCCCUUACGCCCUGGGCGACACACGUGCUACAAUGGCUGGUACAAAGGGAUGCAAGACCGCGAGGUGGAGCUAAUCCCAAAAAACCGGUCUAAGUUCAGAUUGCAGUCUGCAACUCGACUGCAUGAAGGAGGAAUCGCUAGUAAUCGCGCAUCAGCACGGCGCGGUGAAUACGUUCCCGGGCCUUGUACACACCGCCCGUCACACCACGAAAGCCGGCUGUACUCGAAGUCGCUGAG
rnacentral:rRNA from 1 species